rnacentral:rRNA from 1 species
GGGAUUGCCUCAGUAACGGCGAGUGAAGCGGCAACAGCUCAAAUUUGAAAUCUGGCUCCUUCGGGGUCCGAAUUGUAAUUUGUAGAGAGUGCUUCGGGCGAGACCUCGGUCUAAGUCCAUUGGAACAUGGUGUCAUAGAGGGUGAGAAUCCCGUAUGCGACCGUGGCUCGAGCCCAUGUGAAGCCUCUUCGACGAGUCGAGUUGUUUGGGAAUGCAGCUCAAAACGGGUGGUAAAUUUCAUCUAAAGCUAAAUACUGGCUGGAGACCGAUAGCGCACAAGUAGAGUGAUCGAAAGAUGAAAAGCACUUUGGAAAGAGAGUCAAACAGUACGUGAAAUUGUUGAAAGGGAAGCGCUUGCAACCAGACCUGCCCGUAGGCGAUCAGCCGCUGUUCUCAGCGGUGCACUCGCUCUGCGAUCAGGCCAGCAUCGGUUUCGGCGGUCGGAUAAAGGCCUUGGGAAUGUAGCUUCCCUUCGGGGGAGUCUUAUAGCCCUCGGUGUAAUGCGGCCAGCCGGGACCGAGGACCGCGCUUCGGCUAGGAUGCUGGCGUAAUGGUUGUAAGCGACCCGUCUUGAAACACGGACCAAGGAGUCUAACAUCUAUGCGAGUGUUUGGGUGUCAAACCCAUACGCGGAAUGAAAGUGAACGGAGGUGAGAACCCUUAAGGGCGCAUCAUCGACCGAUCCAGAUGUCUUCGGAUGGAUUUGAGUAUGAGCAUAGCUGUUGGGACCCGAAAGAUGGUGAACUAUGCCUGAAUAGGGUGAAGCCAGAGGAAACUCUGGUGGAGGCUCGCAGCGGUUCUGACGUGCAAAUCGAUCGUCAAAUUUGGGUAUAGGGGCGAAAGACUAAUCG